AAAGGCCACAGGCCCCACCGCCCAGGCCGCAGGCUCCGGUUUCUCUGGGUGCCUGCAAGCUGCCGCGGCAGCAAGAUGAAACCGCACCGAAGGCUUCCAGCUACCAUGGCCCAGCAGGCUUCGGAGCCCCCGCAUCCCUCCAGGCCACCCCAGAGCCACAGCCACCUGCCAGAGCAGACCCCCAAAGCAGCCUUGCUCGAUGAAAACCCCUUUCCUCCAGGCCACUGCUCAGGGCCCCUGGAAAGGAGAGACCUUGACACCCUGCUCACAAGGCCUCCGCCCAGAGCGUGGGGCGAGGUCUCGGAGUCGCCACUGUCCUCAGCUGUGCUGCUCCCGGGCCUCACCUCAACAUGCUCCUGCCCGUGGCGAGCCACUGCCUCCUCCUCGGACAGCCCCACACAGCCAUACUCCAGCGGGGUGAAGACGGUCGUGGGAACCUGAAAGCAGGUCUGGAGUCAGGGAGGGCCCUUGGGCCCCCAAAACCGAAGUUCCCCACUGCAUGUGACACAAAGGGCAGCGAUCACAGACCAGGACCAGAUGCGCCCAGAGCAGGCUGCAAGCACAGUAGGCGACCCACCUGCCCGCGCCUGCGCCACACUCUCAGAACUGAGCCCCACACGCAUGCUUGCACACACACGUGUGCACAACACACCCGCAUAAGCGCACACACACACAUGCCCACACCUACAUGCAGACACACAGCGCACAAAGGCCCCUCACCCCAGAAGAGCUAGCCUCGAACUUGGCCUCUCCCGGGCUGUACGUGGCGUCCUGCUAGAGAACUCACAUUGUCGUAGUCCAUCAGAUCUGAGGACCCGCCGAAGAGCCGCUGCACCAGGAGCCUCCCGGCCAUGAUCGCUGUGGGUGUCAGCUCAGGCCGCCCCUUGGGGAAGGGACAGGGGGCCACGUCAGCACCAUGUCCGGGGUUAUAUGCAGCCCCCAUGCCAUCACCCUUUGCCCUCCGAGUGGGCAUCUCCCUUUAGAAAAUCCCCAACACUGGCACCGAGCACGGUGACGUACAGCAUUCCCUCUAGAGCUCGUCCUCCUGCAGGGCAUCCCAGGGACCUACGUAGGUUGCUCAUUCUCCUGUUUGCUGUCCUCCACCCUGCCCUGGGAAAGGAGUCCGCUGCUGAUGAGGCUGGCCGUGCCACCCUCACACGCUCAAGCCUUCUCUUCAAACCCCUUCUGCACAUUGCUGACCUCAGAGGGCUGCCCCAUGACCAAGCUCAAAAGAGCCGCUGCUACCGUUUUCAUUCACUGGAAUCCCCGGCUAAAAAGGGACCCCAAAGCAUUCUAUGUGCUCCUGAUGUGCAGCUUGACCUGCACGUCACAGUCCAUAACAAAUUCCAAAUCAGAACGUCGCUGUGCUGGAGAUCCCUCUGUCCCAGGGUGUGCCCAGCCUUGGGGGUUCCAGCACCGUCCUCUGGGAUGGGCUGCCAAUCACCUUGGCAGCAGGAAAUGCAGAUGUUGUUUGGCAUUCCAGAAAUGCAUAGAGAUCCGUGGAGAUAAACUCAGAGCGCAGCCUGCGCAUUCCAGCAGGCCUGACUAACUACGGAAACAUCCCGGCUGCGCACAGCACACAACAUCUCAUUAAACAAUAGCCCCCGCCCCGCCCACAGGCUCUUACAUCUCAUUAAACAAUAGCCCCCGCCCCGCCCACAGGCUCUUCCCAGCCGCUCAGCGUACCACUGGUUGGGUGUUAACUCUUUGGACUAUUCAGAAUGACCUUUCUGACAGAGUGGAUUUAAUGUUUAAAUAAAGAAUGCCUUUGUGUGCGCCAUGCA